AAAGAGAGAGAAGGAGCUUACUUCUUCGAUCGAGUGGCGAACGGGUGAGUAACGCGUGAGGAACCUGCCUCAAAGAGGGGAACAACAGUCGGAAACGACUGCUAAUACCGCAUAAGCCCACGGGUCGGCAUCGACCAGAGGGAAAAGGAGCAAUCCGCUUUGAGAUGGCCUCGCGUCCGAUUAGCUAGUUGGUGAGGUAAUGGCCCACCAAGGCGACGAUCGGUAGCCGGACUGAGAGGUUGAACGGCCACAUUGGGACUGAGACACGGCCCAGACUCCUACGGGAGGCAGCAGUGGGGAAUAUUGCACAAUGGGGGAGACCCUGAUGCAGCGACGCCGCGUGGAGGAAGUAGGUCUUCGGAUUGUAAACUCCUGUUGUUGAGGAAGAUAAUGACGGUACUCAACAAGGAAGUGACGGCUAACUACGUGCCAGCAGCCGCGGUAAAACGUAGGUCACAAGCGUUGUCCGGAAUUACUGGGUGUAAAGGGAGCGCAGGCGGGAAGACAGUUGGAAGUGAAAUCCAUGGGCUCAACCCAUGAACUGCUUUCAAAACUGUUUUUCUUGAGUAGUGCAGAGGUAGGCGGAAUUCCCGGUGUAACGGUGGAAUGCGUAGAUAUCGGGAGGAACACCAGUGGCGAAGGCGGCCUACUGGGCACCAACUGACGCUGAGGCUCGAAAGUGUGGGUAGCAAACAGGAUUAGAUACCCUGGUAGUCCACACCGUAAACGAUGAUUACUAGGUGUUGGAGGAUUGACCCCUUCAGUGCCGCAGUUAACACAAUAAGUAAUCCACCUGGGGAGUACGACCGCAAGGUUGCAACUCAAAGGAAUUGACGG
rnacentral:rRNA from 1 species